AUUCCAGCUCCAAUAGCGUAUAUUAAAGUUGUUGCAGUUAAAAAGCUCGUAGUUGAACCUUGGACAAAGUGCGCGUGGUCUACCGCAAGGUACGACUGCGGCGCUGCGUCUCUUUAGGGGGACUCGAUGCUUCGGUGUCGAGGUAACCCGUGUUACUGUGAAGAAAUUAGAGUGUUUAAAGCAGGCUAUCGCUUGAAUACAUCAGCAUGGAAUAACAAGUUGGACUUUGCUCCUACUUGUUGGUUUGAGGGGAAAAGUAAUGAUUAACAGGGACAGUUGGGGGUAUUCAUAUUUACAUGCCAGAGGUGAAAUUCUUGGAUUUUGGAAAGAUGAACUACUGCGAAGGCAUUUACCAAGGAUGUUUUCAUCA
rnacentral:rRNA from 1 species